GAUGAACGCUAGCGGCAGGCCUAACACAUGCAAGUCGAGGGGCAGCAUAAUUAAUAUUUCGGUAUUAAUUGAUGGCGACCGGCGCACGGGUGCGUAACGCGUAUGCAACCUACCUUUAACAGGGGUAUAAUCCGAAGAAAUUUGGUCUAAUCCCCCAUAAUACUAUGAGCGGCAUCGUAAGUAGUUGAAAUAUUUUAUAGGUUAAAGAUGGGCAUGCGUGACAUUAGCUAGAUGGUUGAGGUAACGGCUCACCAUGGCAACGAUGUCUAGGGGAACUGAGAGGUUAAUCCCCCACACUGGUACUGAGACACGGACCAGACUCCUACGGGAGGCAGCAGUGAGGAAUAUUGGUCAAUGGACGGAAGUCUGAACCAGCCAUGCCGCGUGCAGGAUGACGGCUCUAUGAGUUGUAAACUGCUUUUGUAAGAGAGUAAAGUAUGGUACGUGUACCAUUUUGCAAGUAUCUUACGAAUAAGGAUCGGCUAACUCCGUGCCAGCAGCCGCGGUAAUACGGAGGAUCCGAGCGUUAUCCGGAUUUAUUGGGUUUAAAGGGUGCGUAGGUUGCAUAAUAAGUCAGUGGUUAAAUACGAUAGCUCAACUAUCGCGGUGCCAUUGAAACUGUUAAGCUAGAGAUUGGUUGCAGCAGGCGGAAUGUGUAGUGUAGCGGUGAAAUGCUUAGAUAUUACACAGAACACCGAUUGCGAAGGCAGCUUGCUAAGCCAUAUCUGACACUGAUGCACGAAAGCGU
rnacentral:rRNA from 1 species